CUGACCACUUCCGAUAUCUUCC
rnacentral:misc_RNA from 1 species